rnacentral:tRNA from 3 species
GUGUCUGUAGCUCAGUUGGAUAGAGCAACGGCCUUCUAAGCCGUGGGUCGGGGGUUCGAAUCCCUUCAGGCACG